UAAUAAGUGUUUAUGGCACUUCUUAAAUCCAUAUCCACCUUGUGUGCAAUGUCAGUCCGAUUUUCUUAUGGAGAUCGCCAAACAUCAACCUUAUUUUUAACUGUCUGUCUGAAAACUAUUAUGAAUAAACAAUUCAAAUA
rnacentral:misc_RNA from 1 species